rnacentral:tRNA from 1 species
AAUUUUAAAGAUAAUUUAAAUCUAUCUAUCCUAAAAAAUAAAUAUAUUUAUUUUUUAGGAUAGAUAGAUUUAAAUUAUCUUUAAAAUUA